ACGGAGGAUCCAAGCGUUAUCCGGAUUUAUUGGGUUUAAAGGGCGCGUAGGCGGGUUUUUAAGUCAGUGGUGAAAGUUUUCGGCUCAACCGAAAAAUUGCCAUUGAAACUGAAGAACUUGAGUGUAAAUGAGGUAGGCGGAAUGUGUUGUGUAGCGGUGAAAUGCUUAGAUAUAACACAGAACACCGAUUGCGAAGGCAGCUUACUGGGAUACAACUGACGCUGAGGCGCGAAAGCGUGGGGAUCAAACAG
rnacentral:rRNA from 1 species